CCUACGGGUGGCAGCAGUAGGGAAUAUUGCUCAAUGGGGGAAACCCUGAAGCAGCAACGCCGCGUGGAGGAUGAAGGUUUUCGGAUUGUAAACUUCUAUUGUCAGAGAAGAUAAUGACGGUAUCUAACGAAUAAGCACCGGCUAACUCCGUGCCAGCAGCCGCGGUAAUACGGAGGGUGCAAGCGUUACCCGGAUUCACUGGGCGUAAAGAGCGCGUAGGCGGGAUAGCAAGUCAGAUGUGAAAUCCUAUGGCUUAACCGUAGAACUGCAUUUGAAACUGUGAUUCUAGAGUGUAGGAGAGGUAAGUGGAAUUCUUAGUGUAGGGGUAAAAUCCGUAGAGAUCAAGAGGAAUACUCAUUGCGAAGGCGACCUACUAGAACAUAACUGACGCUGAUGCGCGAAAGCGUGGGGAGCAAACAGGAUUAGAUACCCUAGUAGUC
rnacentral:rRNA from 1 species